rnacentral:rRNA from 1 species
UACGAAGGGGGCUAGCGUUGCUCGGAAUUACUGGGCGUAAAGGGAGCGUAGGCGGAUAGUUAAGUCAGGGGUGAAAUCCUGGAGCUCAACUCCAGAACUGCCUUUGAUACUGAGGAUCUUGAGUUCGGGAGAGGUGAGUGGAACUGCGAGUGUAGAGGUGAAAUUCGUAGAUAUUCGCAAGAACACCAGUGGCGAAGGCGGCUCACUGGCCCGAUACUGACGCUCAUGCACGAAAGCGUGGGGAGCAAACAGG